AUAGUAGUUAGAAGAAUUAUUCAUAGUGAACUAGAGAGGGAAAUUGGUGAGAUAUAAUUGAGGAAAUCAAAAAAAGUUACACCAGGAAGUAAGCAAUGUAAGAGGCUGAAUCUUUGGCCCCUCCCCUCUCCACUUCCUGUCCUUCCUUCACCAAUCAACUAAUGGAGGGUUUUAUUCACAGAUCAGCUUCUAUGAUGUUCUGGAUGGUUUAUUAGGAAUAUGCAGACAACCUUUAUUUUAUUAAGGUUCCAUUCCCCACCUUAAAUCUGCUGUAAGCAUAUUCAGUUUUGCCAGACAGUGAGAAGAGAGAAAAAAGAAGAUGUCACCUGCUCCCAACACCAUGAGAAAGAGCCACUGCCCACUACCUCCCAGAGAGUAAUUGUCAACUCUCUCAGAGUAACAGCCACCCCAGAGAGUAACUGCCACUCCCAGAGACCAACCGCAACAGAAAAAAAAAAUAUUAUACUGUCAACAUUUGAAACUGAUAUUGUCUCAUAUGAACUUUAAACUCCAAUUUUUUCUCAAGCCAGCUUCUCUACUUCUUAUCUCUAAACUAAUAUAAUAAAACUUAAUUUCUAAUAUCAA